UACGUAGGUGGCAAGCGUUGUCCGGAAUUAUUGGGCGUAAAGCGUGCGCAGGCGGUUCGUUGUGUCUGAUGUGAAAGCCCCGAGCUCAACUUGGGAAUGGCAUUGGAAACUGGCUGGCUAGAGUGUGGCAGAGGGGGGUGGAAUUCCGCGUGUAGCAGUGAAAUGCGUAGAGAUGCGGAGGAACACCGAUGGCGAAGGCAGCCCCCUGGGCUGACACUGACGCUCAGGCACGAAAGCGUGGGGAGCAAACAGG
rnacentral:rRNA from 1 species